GUGGGUAGUUUGACUGGGGCGGUCUCCUCCUAAAGCGUAACGGAGGAGCACGAAGGUUGGCUAAUCCUGGUCGGACAUCAGGAGGUUAGUGCAAUGGCAUAAGCCAGCUUGACUGCGAGCGUGACGGCGCGAGCAGGUGCGAAAGCAGGUCAUAGUGAUCCGGUGGUUCUGAAUGGAAGGGCCAUCGCUCAACGGAUAAAAGGUACUCCGGGGAUAACAGGCUGAUACCGCCCAAGAGUUCAUAUCGACGGCGGUGUUUGGCACCUCGAUGUCGGCUCAUCACAUCCUGGGGCUGAAGUAGGUCCCAAGGGUAUGGCUGUUCGCCAUUUAAAGUGGUACGCGAGCUGGGUUUAGAACGUCGUGAGACAGUUCGGUCCCUAUCUGCCGUGGGCGCUGGAGAACUGAGGGGGGCUGCUCCUAGUACGAGAGGACCGGAGUGGACGCAUCACUGGUGUUCGGGUUGUCAUGCCAAUGGCACUGCCCGGUAGCUAAAUGCGGAAGAGAUAAGUGCUGAAAGCAUCUAAGCACGAAACUUGCCCCGAGAUGAGUUCUCCCUGAGACUACAAGUCUCCUGAAGGAACGUUGAAGACGACGACGUUGAUAGGCCGGGUGUGUAAGCGCAGCGAUGCGUUGAGCUAACCGGUACUAAUGAACCGUGAGGCUUAACCUUACAAC
rnacentral:rRNA from 1 species